rnacentral:tmRNA from 1 species
GGGGAUGAUCGGUUUCGACAGCGGAUGUCGAAGCAGGGGAAGCGAGCCGAGGAACGCGGCAAUGAUCUCGUUAACCAUCUGCCGCAAAAAAAUAAUCGCCAAUUCCAAGCGCGAUUCCUUCGCCCUCGCUGCCUAAGCAGCGACUUGCGAAGUGUCGGCCCGGGGGUGUUCCCUCCCCGGUCUCCGGCAUCAGCUAGGGGACUCACCGCGUAAGCCCGGUCACGGGGUUUACCGGGACACUUCACAGUGACUGAGCCCGUCGGAGACUUGUCCGUGUGAUCUCCGGGGCCGAGAAAAUCGUAACGGACUGCGCUCGGAGAAGCCCUCCUUCCGCUCCGUUGGACGCGGGUUCGAUUCCCGCCAUCUCCACUC